CUUAGGACCGUUAUAGUUACGGCCGCCGUUUACUGGGGCUUCAAUUCGCACCUUCGCUUGCGCUAAGCACUCCUCUUAACCUUCCAGCACCGGGCAGGCGUCAGCCCCUAUACGUCACCUUACGGUUUUGCAGAGACCUGUGUUUUUGCUAAACAGUCGCCUGGGCCUAUUCACUGCGGCUCUCUCGGGCUUUCACCCUACUAGAGCACCCCUUCUCCCGAAGUUACGGGGUCAUUUUGCCGAGUUCCUUAACGAGAGUUCUCUCGCACACCUUAGGAUUCUCUCCUCGACUACCUGUGUCGGUU
rnacentral:rRNA from 1 species